rnacentral:rRNA from 1 species
CCUACGGGAGGCAGCAGUGGGGAAUAUUGCGCAAUGGGCGAAAGCCUGACGCAGCGACGCCGCGUGAGGGAUGCAGGUCUUCGGAGUGUAAACCUCUGUCAGCAGGGAAGAACGGUCACUGUGCUAAUCAGCAGUGAAUUGCUGGCACCUGCAAAGGAAGCACCGGCUAACUCCGUGACAGCAGCCGCGGUAAUACGGAGGGUGCGAGCGUUAUCCGGAAUUACUGGGCGGAACGCGCUCGUAGGCGGUAUGUCAAGUCAAGGGUGAAAUCCCCGGGCUCAACGUGGGGACUGCCUUUGAAACUGGCAAACUGGAGUGUGGGAGAGGAUAGUGGAAUUCCAGGUGUAGGAGUGAAAUCCGUAGAUAUCAGGAGGAACAUCAGUGGCGAAGGCGACUAUCUGGCACAUAACUGACGCUGAGGAGCGAAAGCGUGGGUAGCAAACAGGAUUAGAUACCCUGGUAGUC